UACAGAGGGGGCAAGCGUUGUUCGGAAUUACUGGGCGUAAAGGGCGCGUAGGCGGCCUGUUAAGUCGAACGUGAAAUCCCCGGGCUCAACCCGGGAACUGCGUCCGAUACUGGCAGGCUUGAAUCCGGGAGAGGGAUGCGGAAUUCCAGGUGUAGCGGUGAAAUGCGUAGAUAUCUGGAGGAACACCGGUGGCGAAGGCGGCGAUC
rnacentral:rRNA from 1 species